rnacentral:rRNA from 1 species
UGAUCAGCCACACUGGGACUGAGACACGGCCCAGACUCCUACGGGAGGCAGCAGUGGGGAAUAUUGCACAAUGGGCGCAAGCCUGAUCAGCCAUGCCGCGUGUGUGAAGAAGGCCUUCGGGUUGUAAAGCACUUUCAGUCAGGAGGAAAGGUUAGUAGUUAAUACCUGCUAGCUGUGACGUUACUGACAGAAGAAGCACCGGCUAACUCCGUGCCAGCAGCCGCGGUAAUACGGAGGGUGCGAGCGUUAAUCGGAAUUACUGGGCGUAAAGCGUACGCAGGCGGUUUGUUAAGCGAGAUGUGAAAGCCCCGGGCUCAACCUGGGAACUGCAUUUCGAACUGGCAAACUAGAGUGUGAUAGAGGGUGGUAGAAUUUCAGGUGUAGCGGUGAAAUGCGUAGAGAUCUGAAGGAAUACCGAUGGCGAAGGCAGCCACCUGGGUCAACACUGACGCUCAUGUACGAAAGCGUGGGGAGCAAACGGGAUUAGAUACCCCGGUAGUCCACGCCGUAAACGAUGUCUACUAGAAGCUCGGAGCCUCGGUUCUGUUUCAAAGCUAACGCUUAAUAGACCGCCUGGGAGUACGCCGCAAGGUUAAACUCAAUGAAUUGACGGGGCCCGCACAAGCGGUGAGCAUGUGGUUAAUUCGAUGCAACGCGAAGAACCUUACCUACACUUGACAUACAGAGAACUUACCAGAGAUGGUUUGGUGCCUUCGGGAACUCUGAUACAGGUGCUGCAUGGCUGUCGUCAGCUCGUGUUGUGAGAUGUUGGGUUAAGUCCCGCAACGAGCGCAACCCCUAUCCUUAGUUGCUAGCGUAAGCUGAGAACUCUAAGGAGACUGCCGGUGAUAAACCGGAGGAGGGUGGGGACGACGUCAAGUCAUCAUGGCCCUUACGUGUAGGGCUACACACGUGCUACAAUGGCGCAUACAGAGUGCUGCGAACUCGCGAGAGCAAGCGAAUCACUUAAAGUGCGUCGUAGUCCGGAUUGGAGUCUGCAACUCGACUCCAUGAAGUCGGAACCGCUAGUAAUCGCGUAUCAGAAUGACGCGGUGAAUACGUUCCCGGGCCUUGUACACACCGCCCGUCACACCAUGGGAGUGGGUUGCUCCAGAAGUAGAUAGUCUAACGGGAGGACGUUUACCACGGAGUGAUUCAU